rnacentral:rRNA from 1 species
CGGUGUUCAACUGGCGCGCCCGCGGGACGUCCUGCCGGUGAGCUCAGCCCGCGAGGGCGGCUCAACUUGAAAUCCCAUCGCGGUGCUCUUCAUUGAGUGUCGAGGUGGGCCGGCACGAUUACUUUUGAACAAAUUAGAGUGCUUAAAGCAGGCUAAAAUUUUGCCUGAAUACUGUGUAUAUGGAAUAAUGGAAUAGGACCUCGGUUCUAUUUUGUUGGUUUUCGGAACCCCGAGGUAAUGAUUAAUAGGAACGGAUGGGGGCAUUCGUAUUGCGACGUUAGAGGUGAAAUUCUUGGAUCGUCGCAAGACGGACUAAAGCGAAAGCAUUUGCCAAAAACGCUUUCAUUGAUCAAGAACGAAAGUUAGAGGUUCGAAGGCGAUCAGAUACCGCCCUAGUUCUAACCAUAAACUACGCCAGCUAGCGAUCCGCCGACGUCCCUCUGAUGACUCGGCGGGCAGCUUCCGGGAAACCAAAGCUUUUGGGUUCCGGGGGAAGUAUGGUUGCAAAGCUGAAACUUAAAGGAAUUGACGGAAGGGCACCACCAGGAGUGGAGCCUGCGGCUUAAUUUGACUCAACACGGGAAACCUCACCAGGCCCAGACACUGGAAGGAUUGACAGAUUGAGAGCUCUUUCUUGAUUCAGUGGGUGGUGGUGCAUGGCCGUUCUUAGUCGGUGGAGCGAUUUGUCAGGUUAAUUCCGAUAACGGACGAGACUCUGACCUGAUAACUAGACGCACUUGCGGCAUCUCAAAGGUCCGCCGGCGGCUGGCUUUGCGCCCGUCGUCGCGCGCGAUUUUUACUGCCGGCGUACAAUAAAUUCUUCUUAGAGGGACAAGUGG